GCGAAACUUACUACAUUGGGGAAAAAUUUAUGCAAAUGUAUUGACUAUGAGUGGCAACGCUUAGAAAACUGUAUAUUUGACCGAUUCAUGAAGGUUGGUGAAAGGAGUCGACAGCAUCCUUAGGCCAAACUUACUACUUUGGUGAAAAAUUUAUGCAAAUGUAUUGACUAUGAGUGGCAACGCUUAGAAAACUGUAUAUUUGACCGAUUCAUGAAGGUUGCUGGAAGGAGUCGACAGCAUUCUUAGGCGAAACUUACUACUUUGCGGAAAAAUUUAUGCAAAUGUAUUGACUAUGAGUGGCAACGCUUAGAAAACUGUAUAUUUGACCGAUUCAUGAAGGUUGGUGAAAGGAGUCGACAGCAUUCUUAGGCCAAACUUACUACUUUGGGGAAAACUUUAUGCAAAUGUAUUGACUAUGAGUGGCAACGCUUAGAAAACUGUAUAUUUGACCGAUUCAUGAAGGUUGGUGAAAGGAGUCGACAGCAUUCUUAGGCCAAACUUACUACUUUGGGGAAAAAUUUAUGCAAAUGUAUUGACUAUGAGUGGCAACGCUUAGAAAACUGUAUAUUUGACCGAUUCAUGAAGGUUGUUGGAAGGCGUCGACAGCAUCCUUAGGCGAAACUUACUACUUUGGGGAAAACUUUAUGCAGAUGUAUUGACUAUGAGUGGCAACGCUUAGAAAACUGUAUAUUUGAUCGAUUCAUGAAGGUUGGUGAAAGGAGUCGACAGCAUCCUUAGGCCGAACUUACUACUUGUGGAUAAAAAUGGUGCAGAUGUAUUGACUAUGAGUGGCAACGCUUAGAAAACUGUAUAUUUGAUCGAUUCAUGAAGGUUGUUGGAAGGAGUCGACAGCAUCCUUAGGCCAAACUUACUACUUUGGGGAAAACUUUAUGCAAAUGUAUUGACUAUGUGUGGCAACGCUUAGAAAACUGUAUAUUUGACCGAUUCAUGAAGGUUGUUGGAAGGAGUCGACAGCAUCCUUAGGCCAAACUUACUACUUUGGGGAAAAAUUUAUGCAAAUGUAUUGACUAUGAGUGGCAACGCUUAGAAAACUGUAUAUUUGAUCGAUUCUUGAAGGUUGUUGGAAAGAGUCGACAGCAUCCUUAGGCCAAACUUACUACUUUGGGGAAAAAUUUAUGCAAAUGUAUUGACUAUGAGUGGCAACGCUUAGAAAACUGUAUAUUUCACCUAUUCAUGAAGGUUGGUGAAAGGAGUCGACAGCAUUCUUAGGCGAAACUUACUACUUUGCGGAAAACUUUAUGCAAAUGUUUUGACUAUGAGUGGCAACGCUUAGAAAAUUGUAUAUUUGAUCGAUUCAUGAAGGUUGGUGAAAGGAGUCGACAGCAUCCUUAGGCCAAACUUACUACUUGUGGAUAAAAAUGGUGCAGAUGUAUUGACUAUGAGUGGCAACGCUUAGAAAUCUGUAUAUUUGACCGAUUCAUGAAGGUUGGUGAAAGGAGUCGACAGCAUUCUUAGGCGAAACUUACUACUUUGAGGAAAACUUUAUGCAAAUGUAUUGACUAUGAGUGGCAACGCUUAGAAAACUGUAUAUUUGACCGAUUCAUGAAGGUUGGUGAAAGGAGUCGACAGCAUCCUUAGGCCAAACUUACUACUUUCGUGAAAAAUUAAUGCAAAUGUAUUGAC